GCCCAGACUCCUUCGGGAGGCAGCAGUGGGGAAUAUUGCGCAAUGGGCGAAAGCCUGACGCAGCGACGCCGCGUGAGGGAUGAAGGCCUUCGGGUUGUAAACCUCUUUCAGCAGCGACGAAGCGAAAGUGACGGUACCUGCAGAAGAAGCACCGGGCAACUACG
rnacentral:rRNA from 1 species